UGCGGCCUACGGGACGCAGCAGUAGGGAAUUUUCGUCAAUGGGCGCAAGCCUGAACGAGCGAUGCCGCGUGAGUGAAGAAGGCCUUCGGGUCGUAAACCUCUGUCAGCAGGGAAGGACGGUCACUGUGCUAAUCAGCAGUGAAUUGACGGUACCUGCAAAGGAAGCACCGGCUAACUCCGUGCCAGCAGCCGCGGUAAUACGGAGGGUGCGAGCGUUAAUCGGAAUUACUGGGCGUAAAGCGCUCGUAGGCGGUAUGUCAAGUCAAGGGUGAAAUCCCCGCGCUCAACGUGGGAACUGCCUUUGA
rnacentral:rRNA from 1 species